GUUGACCCCAUGAAAGGUUAAGGAUUAGUUGCUAGUGUUAGUACUUAGUGGCUACAAUUUAAUGGUUUCGGAUGCAGCCUGCGUCUCCUGAGCUCGUCGUACUCAAGAUACUUUUCAGGAUAACAAAAUGCCUUCAUGAAAGAAAUGUAUCUUUGGAUGCCAAGACAACUGCACUCUUUUUAGUCUUCCAAAAAAUGAGACUCUUCGUCAAAAAUGGUUGGACUUUAUUUUUGGAAAUGUCCCUCCUCCCAAGAAGAUUUGCUUUGUUUGUGCGAGGCAUUUUACUGAAGACAGCUUUCUGAACAAACGCUUAUUCGACAGUGGAUUACUAAAGAGGUUGUUACUAAAACACGAUGCAAUACCUUCACUCAAGAGUACUCCUUCAGAGCCAGCACCAAGCCCACCUGCAACUACCAGCUCCACAUCACAUCAUUCAGCUUAUAAGCCUACUACAAGAUCAGUGGCUACACAACUAUCUGCUGGAACCUUGAGGAAAGAACACUACAGGAGUAAAGGUACCCAAGCCAGCGUUAACACUAUAAGCAGAGGCACUGGUACAGAGCAGUCCUUGCCACAGUUUUCAUCAACACCUGUUAAACCAACAUCUGGGGUUGGUGCAAGGCCACCAAAACGCCCUCAUCUAGAGUUGGAGGAGGAAGAGGAAGAUGACUGGAGCAUGUCCAUUCCUGUAUCUCAAGAUUCAACUUAUGAGCCAGGAGAUACAGUUACAGACCUGUCUGACCUGAUGUAAGAUUUCCAUAUUCAUUUGUUGUGAUAUCUGAUGUCAUUAGAUAUUUAUUUGAUGUACUGGCGUAACAUAUAUAUUUUGUGUGAACAGUGAAAUGGAGUCUCCUUCUGAGUUUGAAGAUGCAAAAUACAUUGUAUUUGAGAGUGCCCUCAGAGAGCUGUUUGACAAUUGCCCUGUCUGCAAGAGACACUGCAUAGUGGAGCAGCGCAGAUGUGGAACAUUAGUUGCUUUUAGCCAGGACUGUCCACAUUGUUCCUUCACUCGAAAGUGGCAGAGUCAGCCAAUGAAGGGCAAGAUUCCACAGGGGAAUCUGGAGUUGUCGGCGGCCGUAUACUUUAAUGGGGGAUCAUUUGUAAAGAUGGAAAGGGUAUUUUAUUUAUCACAGCCUAUGGUCUAAAUGACAUGCUUGCAUAUUAUAAAGAUGCAUUAAAACAUUUUUUUUAUUCAGCAUUUUUUUUCUUUUAGAUUUGCGAUACCAUGAACCUGAAGAUUCAUCAAUAUGAUACCUUUAGGAGACAUGCACGAAAACUAUUGGAACCAGCAAUUUACCACAAGUGGAAGUUGGAUCAGAGCAAAGUCUUUGAAGAAAUGAAAUGCAAAGGCAAAGUAGCCGUUAGUGGUGAUAUGAGGGCGGAUUCACCAGGUACUUAUUUUACCACCAAUCAUUAUCAUACAAUAUUGACUGUUUACUGAUGGAAACAAUUUUAUUUGUCCAGGGCACUCAGCCAAAUUUGGGAGCUACACAAUAAUGGAGAAUGAAGACAAAAAGAUUCUUGACAUUCAACUGGUGCAGGUAUGUACCUCUUGCCACUGUUUACAUAAAUCCUUCAUGUCCUGUCGUGG
ensembl:lncRNA